rnacentral:rRNA from 1 species
UACGGAGGGUGCAAGCGUUAUCCGGAUUCACUGGGUUUAAAGGGUGCGUAGGCGGGUAAGUAAGUCCGUGGUGAAAUCUCUGAGCUUAACUCAGAAACUGCCGUGGAUACUAUUUGUCUUGAAUGUUGUGGAGGUGAGCGGAAUAUGUCAUGUAGCGGUGAAAUGCUUAGAUAUGACAUAGAACACCAAUUGCGAAGGCAGCUCACUACACAAAUAUUGACGCUGAGGCACGAAAGCGUGGGGAUCAAACAGG